rnacentral:misc_RNA from 1 species
GAAAUGCGAUAAGUAAUGUGAAUUGCAGAAUUCAGUGAAUCAUCGAAUCUUUGAACGCACAUUGCGCCCGCCAGCAUUCUGGCGGGCAUGCCUGUUCGAGUAACGCCGAACAAAAAUCUCAAUCUCAAAUCAGGUAGGAUUACCCGCUGAACUUAA